ensembl:lncRNA
GGUUAAUUCAAAUUUUGUCUAAAUUAUGUAGGUUGUGCAAUUUAAGGCCUUGUAAAUAUUAUUUAAUUUAUCAGACGUCUCUGUGUUAUAAUUUCUAUGUUUGUAUAUAGGCUCUGUCUGCCACGGGCACUGCAGCAGGCUGUUUAUUUUGAGAGUGUGUCUGUGUUUAUGUAAAUGAGAUGCCUGUGACUUAUUUAGAGUGACAUUUCCUGUUUACUAAUGAGUGGCUAAUGACUGACUGCAGAGCCAGGGUUAAGGACGACUUCAAUCUGUGUUUUAAGGGAAGAAAUGCAGUUUAUGUUUAUUAUAUUUGUGUGACUGUUGUUGAUUAUGAUAAGUAUUUCAUGAUAACUGUAGAAUAUGAGUAUGGGGUUUGCUUGACACGUGUCUGUACUAGGUAAAACUGUGCAAAACUGAUAGGAAGUUUAUAGGGACUGCUACACAUGGCUGAUGCCUGUAUUUAAGACGCUGGAGUUGUUUAUUACAAUAUUGCCUGGAAGAGAGUGAACUGACGGCGCGGACAAAUUACCAAAGUUGAUGUUCUAUCCAAGAGGGUUUUAAGCUUCACUGGUGAGAGUGUCCAGGUGAUACAUGUUGAGGGAAGAUGAGAACAUAGCAGGUGAAUUGCAUGCACGCUUACAAACACACAUGAUUUAAUAUAGGCCAGGCCAAAGGCCUGGACUUGAUGCAGCUUUCAACUUUACAGCUCCUAACUUGCAGGAAUGGCGGGAGUGUAAUGAAUGAAUGCAAAACAUGCUUACAGACACAAACAUGACAGGGGUUUAUUUUACAGGGUAAAGGUGGACCACAGGUUGCUUUGUUUCUGCUUAGCAACUACUGAGGUAAAUGGUGUUAAAGAUAAAUAUGCAAUAAGUGAACAAGAAAUGUGUGAGGGUGAGCCGGGUGAAACAAAAUGUUGUAGAUGAUGGAAACUUGUCUAACGGGCAUUAACAGUAACCUUUGCAUGUUAUGUAUAUGCUUGAAGCCAAAGGAGGCAUAAAUCCAGAUAGAAAACUUUGAAGUGUGCUUUUUUAGCGGAGAUUUAGGCUGACAGGGGAUGGUGUAUAUUUUACCCGGGGUGUGUUUAAUAAAAAAAAAAAAAAAAAAACUAAAAGCGUUGCUCACACACAUAAAGAGUAUUGAGAUUAAAUAAAGUUAAUAUAAUGGAUAGAGCCCAGAACAGGAAAAUACAUAAGUAAAAUCAAAUGUAAUGUUUGAUUUCACUUUUAUUGGGAAACAAUCAGGCUAGAAAUGUGAGUAACCUAUGUUUAAACUGUGAAAACACUCUCCACAUACAUUAAAACUGUGCAACUCUGAGUGGGCCAUGCAAUCAAGCAACUGUUACAUAUCUGUAUUAAACUAGCCAACAUAGACUCACCACCACAUGAUGUUGCCCUGCAGCGGGGCAGAAAAUCAUUUGCAAACCAGGGAUCUUAUGUUGAUUAUCAUAUUCUUACUUAUGUACACACACACACACAGAAGGGAAAAAUUUCAAAACAAAACAAAAACAACUUCGCUUAACCUGUCAAGCACAGGAGCAAAAUAAAAAUCUCUUUGGGCUCUGUUA